GACGAACGCUGGCGGCGUGCCUAAUACAUGCAAGUAGAACGCUGAAGAGAGGAGCUUGCUCUUCUUGGAUGAGUUGCGAACGGGUGAGUAACGCGUAGGUAACCUGCCUUGUAGCGGGGGAUAACUAUUGGAAACGAUAGCUAAUACCGCAUAACAAUGGAUGACACAUUUCAUUUAUUUGAAAGGGGCAAUUGUUCCACUACAAGAUGGACCUGCGUUGUAUUAGCUAGUAGGUGAGGUAAUGGCUCACCUAGGCGACGAUACAUAGCCGACCUGAGAGGGUGAUCGGCCACACUGGGACUGAGACACGGCCCAGACUCCUACGGGAGGCAGCAGUAGGGAAUCUUCGGCAAUAGGGGCAACCCUGACCGAGCAACGCCGCGUGAGUGAAGAAGGUUUUCGGAUCGUAAAGCUCUGUUGUAAGUCAAGAACGGGUGUGAGAGUGGAAAGUUCACACUGUGACGGUAGCUUACCAGAAAGGGACGGCUAACUACGUG
rnacentral:rRNA from 1 species